GGUAGAGCUUUAUCGUAAGAUAGAGUUUGAGAGUGGCGAACGGGUGAGUAACACGUAGGAAUCUACCCUUAAGACGGGGACAACCCAGGGAAACUUGGGCUAAUACCGGAUGAGAGUGCGAGAGAUUGCAUUUAAAAGGAUGGCGAAAGUUGUCGCUUAGGGAUGAGCCUGCGGUCUAUUAGUUAGUUGGUGAGGUAAGAGCUCACCAAGGCGAUGAUAGAUAGGCGGCCUUAACGGGUGGUCGCCCACACUGGGAUUGAGAUACGGCCCAGACUCCUACGGGAGGCAGCAGUCGAGAAUAGUCUACAAUGGCCGGAAGGCUGAUAGUGCGACGCCGCGUGAACGAGGGAGCCCUUCGGGGUGUAAAGUUCUUUUCUAUACGAGCAGUGCUAUAUAUAUGGAUAGUAUAUAUAGAGGGAUAGUAGUAUAGGAAUAAGCAACGGCUAACUCCGUGCCAGCAGCCGCGGUAACACGGGGGUUGCGAGCGUUGUCCGGAAUUACUAGGCGUAAAGGGCAGGUAGGCGGAUCUACGAGUUUUUUGUUAAAGGCUACGGCUCAACUGUAGUAGAGCAGGAGAUACUGUAGGUCUGGAAUGCGGUAGGGGAAGACAGAAUUCCUGGUGUAGCGGUGGAAUGCGCA
rnacentral:rRNA from 1 species